GUCACUCAACUGAAAACAGAAAUUGUACAUCAUAAUGAAGCAUUGUUAAUCUCAUUAGACUUUGAAUUAGAGAGUGAGAGCAGUUCGAGCCAUGGAUAAAGCCCCAUCAUAGGACUGGUUUCCGCCAAUAAAGCCGCUCAUGUGGACAAAAACGCAACCGGGGAUCUCAGCAGCUUUAGAGAGUUCCUCAUCUCUAAGGCCUCUCCAUUGCUCAGGAAGAGCCUUUCGGUUCUCAAACCUGUCUGGUGCAACCGCCACUGCUUGGACUCUCCACUGCUUUCCUCGCUCGUCCUACACGUCAUUUGCACUAGUUCUCAAUACCAAAUUAUCCUUUCACCACACUAAUACAUUCACAUUUCUUAAGGAGAACACGUCAUUCACACUCAUCACAUCUGAGAUCCUACAAGCCUAUCUUAAUAUCGUGCUUGAAGGUUACCUGGUAGAUGACGUAUUUGAUGAGUGGUUCGAUCUUCAUCUCUUGCUCAAGCUCGAACAAAUGAAGCUUCCACUGCCCACCCAUUAACCCAGAGAGUUAGUUUUAAUAUUAAGAAAUCAGAAUAGUAGCAUUGACAAAGGGGAAUGGACAGUGAAAGCACUUACAGGGCAGAAGUUUUUAAGUUCCAUGAUCUCGCCACUAGGGUCAGUCUUGAAUCUUUCUUCAAGACACUGCAUCACGAUUGAUCGAGCCGGCAACCACGACCUUGCAUGAAAUCUUAAACUCUACAGGGCAAAGUAAAAUACACAAGUUAGCCUUGAGAAACCACCCACCUGACUGACACUUGGAACAGAGAAAGUCUUACUUGGAGAAACUCUUUGCCAGCAAGAGCCAUGGCAAGCUGGAAAGCCUCAUUCUCCUUCUCCUGGGACUGGUCAGGGUCAAUCCAAUCAAGAUUUAAUCUUCCAACCCUCGAAGACAAAUGCGUGUUGUUCACAUAUCUUGGAGGCUGAUCAGUAUCAUACCGAUUAAUUCCAUUGUCCACAGCAUCAAUCGCCUGUCACAAAAAAGUUGAUGAAACAUUAACAAAAAAAAAAUGCAUGGAGAAUGAAAGGCAACAGUGGUAGAGAAUAAUACCUCCAUGAAGCUCUUGUAGACAGCUAGAAACAAGCGAAGGACAUCAGGGUGAUCUUGGUCGACGUUAAGUUCCUUAGCUAUGAUCUCCUUUCCAAAAUGCUGAACCAAAACAACAUUCAGACAGACUUUAUUUCUUUCCUACAAAGAAAACUGAGGGAGCAAAGCAAAGCAAGAACCUUGUAAACGAGACCGGCACUGCUGAGCUUGGUGUUGAAACCAUGUCCAAACACCUCUUCGAAGCCCUUCUGGUGAUGAUCAUAGCGGUCAUGGUCGGGGUCAUAAACACCUCCAACGUCAAGCACUGCAUCAAGCUCCCCCAAUAUCUGCAUCAAAACAAUCCAUCAACAAUCGAAACCCUAAAUUCCAAAAUCAAUUUCAAACAAGUAAACAGUCUCCGACUAACUCAAUUCGUAAGAGCAAAAAACAUCUUAGAUUUGUUUUUGUUACCUUAGGGUCACGGGUACGGACGAUGUCGGCGCCGGAGAACUUAUGGGAGAGGCGUAUCAUGAAGCAACCGAGAGCUUCGUCGCAGUGAAAGCUUCCGUUGUGAGUACCAACUUUCUUGACUGGAACUUCCGAAGGAGAUGCGGGAGUAGUAGUAGUAGUAGUAGUAGUAGUAGAGUAAACCCUAACGACGGCACAAGGAGCCAUUGCUGCAGCAACGAGAGGAAGAGGAAGGAGACUCAAGUUUCUGAUUAAACCCUUUGUUACUGGAAACAUGACUGAAAUUUUGAUUGAAAAUUGUCAAAUGGGCCUCUUUUAUAAGAUACUAAACAGUUUGGGCCUAAUGUUCACCUUUUUAUCUGCCCCCUAUCACGUUAUGGCUUGUUCAGUCUUAUAGUUCUAUGGUUUGAAGAUACGAUUCCAUCCAAGCAAACAAAUAACGAAACGGUCACUCAACUAAAAACAGAAAUUGUACAACAUAAUGAAGCAUUGUAAUCUCUCCCUCUGCUUUGAAUUAAGACUUUGAAUUAGAGAGUGAGAGCAGUUCGAGCCAUGGAUAAAGCGCCGUCAUAGGACAGGUUUCCGCCAAUAAAGCCGCUCAUGUGGACAAAAACGCAACCGGGGAUCUCAGCAGCUUUAGAGAGUUCCUCAUCUCUAAGGCCUCUCCAUUGCUCAGGAAGAGCCUUUCGGUUCUCAAAC
rnacentral:lncRNA from 1 species